UGCGUAGGCGGUAACCUAAGUCAGAUGUGAAAACCAGAGGCUCAACUUCUGGACUGCAUUUGAAACUGGGCUACUAGAGUGCAGGAGAGGAAAGUUGAAUUCCUAGUGUAGCGGUGAAAUGCGUAGAUAUUAGGAGGAACACCAGUGGCGAAGGCGGCUUUCUGGACUGUAACUGACGCUGAGGCACGAAAGCGUGGGGAGCGAACAGGAUUAGAUACCCUGGUAGUCC
rnacentral:rRNA from 1 species